UUAAACUACAAGGAUUUAAAAUUAAAUAACCCGAAGCGAAAAGAGCUAACUAAUCACAACAAAACACUUUUAGGCGCACAUAGGUAAUGUAGCAAAAUUACUAAUAGAUGAGAUAGUUAGGGGUGAAAGGCUAUUCAAAUUUCGCUGAUAACUGGAUUAAACUGAAAAAUAUUAAGUAUUCAAAUCCAAGCUCAAAAAUCUAAGCUUUUGAGCUUAUUAAGAUGUAUGUGAGAAAAAGUAAAAAUCAAACCUAUUAAUAUAAUAUUGUCUUGUUUAAUCCAAUAAUUUAUCUACUAUUACUUUUAAAUCUUUAAGUUUAUUUGCUAAGUUAUUUAUUAACUUGUAUUGAUAAUGUUUAAAUGAGUGCAGAAAAUGAAAAAAAAAAUAGGAACUCGGCAAAAAUGUUCUUCAACUGUUUAUCAAAAACAUAUCUGGUAGAUAUUUAUUAUUAGUUAGCUCUGCCCGGUGAUAUAAAUUUUAACGGCCGCAGUACACUGACUGUGCAAAGGUAGCAUAAUCAAUUGGCUAUUAAUUGUAGUCCAGUAUGAAAGAGUACAUGGGGAAAAGCUGUCUUUUUUUUUAUUUCUGUAAUUUACUAAGCAAGUGCAAAAACUUGCGUAAUCUUAUAAUAGACGAGAAGACCCUGUAAAUUUUAACUAUAUUAGGAUAUGCCUAGAGUCGUUUUUGUUGGGGCAACAGUAUAACACAAUAAGGAAAUUUAUAAUGCAAGAAUAAGAUUAUAAAACGAGUUUUACUAAGAACAAAUAAAUUACUAUAGGGAUAACAGCAUAAUUUUAUUUUUAAGAUUGUGACCUCGAUGUUGGAUUAGGAACUUAACAAAUUAACAGUUUGAUUAAGGGGUUCUGUUCGAACUUUCAUACCUACAUGAUCUGAGUUCAGACCGG
rnacentral:rRNA from 1 species